rnacentral:rRNA from 1 species
UACGUAGGUGACCAGCGUUGUCCGGAUUUACUGGGCGUAAAGAGCGCGCAGGCGGUCGUUCAAGUCGAGUGUGAAAGCCCCCGGCUCAACUGGGGAGGGUCAUUCGAUACUGAUCGACUCGAAGGCAGGAGAGGGAAGCGGAAUUCCCGGUGUAGUGGUGAAAUGCGUAGAGAUCCGGAGGAACACCAAAGGCGAAGGCAGUGUCCUGGGGAGUACCUGACGCUCAGGUGCGAAAGCCAGGGGAGCGAACGGG